rnacentral:rRNA from 1 species
AAGCAUAUCAAUAAGCGGAGGAAAAGAAACUAACAAGGAUUCCCCUAGUAACUGCGAGUGAAGCGGGAAGAGCUCAAAUUUAAAAUCUGGCGUGCCUCUGGUCGUCCGAGUUGUAGUCUAGAGAAGCGUUUUCCGUGUCGGACCGUGUAUAAGUCUCUUGGAACAGGGCGUCAUAGAGGGUGAGAAUCCCGUCUUUGACACGGACUACCGAUGCUUUGUGAUGUGCUCUCAAAGAGUCGAGUUGUUUGGGAAUGCAGCUCAAAAUGGGUGGUAAAUUCCAUCUAAAGCUAAAUAUAGGCGAGAGACCGAUAGCGAACAAGUACCGUGAGGGAAAGAUGAAAAGCACUUUGGAAAGAGAGUUAAACAGUACGUGAAAUUGCUGAAAGGGAAACGCUUGAAGUCAGUCACGUCUGCCAGGACUCAGCCUUGCUUCUGCUUGGUGCACUUUCUGGUUUGAUGGGCCAACAUCAAUUUUGACCGUUGGAGAAAGGCUUUGGGAACGUGGCACCUUUGGGUGUGUUAUAGCCCUUUGUUGUAUACAACGGUUGGGAUUGAGGACCGCAGCACGCCUUUAUGGCCGGGGUUCGCCCACGUACGUGCUUAGGAUGUUGGCAUAAUGGCUUUAAGCGACCCG